CACGUAGGUGGCAAGCGUUAUCCGGAAUUACUGGGCGUAAAGGGUCCGCAGGUGGGAUGGUCAGUCCGAUGUGACAGUACCCGGCUUAACUGGGUGAGGCCAUUGGAAACUGCCAUUCUUGAGUCACAGAGAGGGAAGCGGAAUUCCCGGUGUAGUGGUGGAAUGCGUAGAUAUCGGGAGGAACACCAGUGGCGAAGGCGGCUUCCUGGACCUGUUCUGACGCUGAGGAGCGAAAGCGUGGGGAGCGAUCCGG
rnacentral:rRNA from 1 species